AAAACUUAGGCCCAAGAAUUUCUACCAAAAUCCGAAUAUUUUUAGAUCUUUUUUUGUGAUGUGAUUGUUGACGUUGAUUUUGAAAAUCUUCUCGUACAAUUUCUAUAGUAUAAAUAGUAUUGAUACGAAGUCAAAUAUCAAUCGACGAUUCGCCGAAGUUACAUUCGUUGGGUCAAAGACGACGCUGACAUUUCCUCGUACAAUGCAUUUCUCGCUACUGUUAAGGUAAAUAUUAAACACAAGACUUGACGAGGAAAACUCGCGGCGGGAAAUUCCGGGAACGGACCGCGGCCACUCCGAUAAAGAGACUGUUUAACUUUCAGGGAGUAACCGACGGUCCAAGAAGUCACUGUCAGUUCUCACACAAACGUGUCGUUCUCGUUCGGUAAAUCAGGUAUACUUUCGAAUGUUUAUCCGCGAUAAUCGUUGGUUAUCUAGGUUUGAUAUUGACCUUUGACCUCACAUAUCGCUGACAAAUUUCCCUCUCCAACGCCGACUUUCGCCACUCUCGGAGAACUGCGGCAAUAAUUAGGACCGCCGUAACCGAAAACCACGGCAGAGCUUGAUCGUCGGUCGAAACUAACGAACCUAAGCAUGUGCAAAGUCGUUCUGAUCCUCGUCCUGCUGGUGGGUGUGCCGCCUGCGGAUCGCCUCGACCUUCCCGGGAACCCGAAGACGAUCAUUCCCCGUCAAGGAGGGAAAUUUUGCGGUUCGUCGGCAUGCGUCGGGAGGUUAAAAUCUGUGGAAGGAUGCCUUCGAGAAGUCGUCGGACGCCGAUAGUCAACGUCUGGAAGUGUCAAGCGGCGGAUUUGAACGCCCCAAGAGUUCCGGGGAGUCCGUUCCAGUCCAGGACGAAAGGACAGACCCGAAGUAAUUCAUCGGAAAGCCUUUACGUGAACCAGCGCCGAUUCGCAUGAUAUGCGUGUUGUUUUUCAAAUACAUUGCGUGAGGUCAGAAACGACGAGCCAUCGAUCAGUUUCUCGAAAAAAUUCGACACUUCGAAAGACAUCGAUUUGGUAAUGUUAGUAAUUUUCUUCAGGUUGUGCUAUAAAAGCAACGCUCAUCAAAAUCCAAAGACCAAGUAAGAGUUGGAGAUUUACUAACAGAGGCAUGCAAUUCGCAUUUUUCGUUAAAUCAGCAACUGAUCAGCAAUACUACACGCGGAUCCGAUUCGUAUUCUUAGCAUUAUCACGCACUAGGGUAAUAAAAGAAAUUUCAAAUGUAGGAAAUGUUUUUUUCAUUCUACUUACAAGCGAAUGUAUUGAAAUUGCAAUUGAAUCUCCCAUUUUUUGGAGAUACGUUAAUUUCGAAUUCGCUUGAAGAGACGAACAAAGAAGACAAAAGACCGAAUCAUUUUUUCCCUAAGCUACCGACAUGUGGAAUAAAAUAAUACGUCAAACUCGAAUGAUCUUGCGUAAUUAACGUAAAACUGGCAAUGAUCCGUGAAUUUAUUUUCUUGCAUUUUCUAAUCAGCUUUGGUCAAAAGUAAGGAGAUGACCUAUGGAAGAGUGACGAAUCACGUCCGAUGCGAUAUAAAUAUCAACGUUUUUUUCGACGUUCACAAAUAUAUGCGGUUAAAAAUACAAACGUUAUCACGAGAUAUCCAUUGUAUUUUCAAUAAAAAUACUGUUAGUAAUAAAUCGAGGAAAAAUUUUACCAA